ACCGGAACCGGAGGUUGGACAGCCUGAUUCAACGGCUAAAAAGUUUGCCGCUACAGAUGGAGGAGACCUGUAGAAAACGUUUUAUUAGUGCUAAAGUUUAUUUAUAUUCAACUUAAUUAUUAUUAUCAAUAAAUUAUUUUAUAUUAAAUUAACCUGAAACACUUUACAUAUGACCCAGGUUUAAAAAAUUCAUGAUUGGGAACCGUUUUUUGUAAAUAAUAAAAUGUCUCCGUUGUCUGUGAGUAGAUCAUCAUCACCUAAACUAAAUUUAUUGAAAGCUCCAAAUAAUAUGGCCAAUGAUAUUCAAGAGAAACGAUUAACAUAAUACCGGGAAAAAUGUAAGAUGUUAAAGCAUCAGUUACUUGCUGCGGAAAAAGAGAUCGAAUUACAUACAAAAUCUGUGGAAAGGUCCGAAUGACUCUUUUUUGCACUGCAUCGAGAGUUAGAAAACAGACGGAAAAAAAGUUGAAAAUAUAUGAAAAAGAAGGUGCCUCCACCAGCCCUACGACCUCUUAAGCCUCUGCUCCUUCCCUUUCUAUGUCAAUUCCACCUUUCAUUCAUACUUACGUUGCUCGUCGUCUUCUCCAAAAAAGUCAAAGCCCCUUGUAAUGCACUACUCUCCACACCACCAACUGGAAAACCACUAACACGACCUGCACCUACACUUCAUGAACAUUCCUUGUUGGACACAUUUACACUCUGAAGACCUGGUGGACCUGGUGUUGCACCACUACCUGGCUACACCUGUGACGUCAAGUUGGAGGAAUUCAGAUUUUAUAGACUUGAAGAAAUUUAUUUAUUUUGCAAAAAAAAAUUAUAUUGCAAAUAAUUAAAUAGUAUAUAAAAAGUUAGUGUAGCAGAAAAAAAUAAAUUAAACCAAUUGAUGUUAACUAUCUAUAUUUAGAAUACUUUCAAAUCAUUUAGCCUAGCUAGCAGAUAAUAAACAGAAAAUAUUUAAUUGAAAAAAGUACUAUUACAUUUUUUACAUGUAUAAUAAAAUGUUUUUAUUUCACA